rnacentral:rRNA from 1 species
GGGAGCUCUAUCCAGAACUGCUCCACCGGAAAGAGGAGUGGCGAACGGGUGAGUAACACGUGGGUAACCUGCCCAUCAGAAGGGGAUAACACUUGGAAACAGGUGCUAAUACCGUAUAACAAUCGAAACCGCAUGGUUUUGAUUUGAAAGGCGCUUUCGGGUGUCGCUGAUGGAUGGACCCGCGGUGCAUUAGCUAGUUGGUGAGGUAACGGCUCACCAAGGCCACGAUGCAUAGCCGACCUGAGAGGGUGAUCGGCCACAUUGGGACUGAGACACGGCCCAAACUCCUACGGGAGGCAGCAGUAGGGAAUCUUCGGCAAUGGACGAAAGUCUGACCGAGCAACGCCGCGUGAGUGAAGAAGGUUUUCGGAUCGUAAAACUCUGUUGUUAGAGAAGAACAAGGAUGAGAGUAACUGUUCAUCCCUUGACGGUAUCUAACCAGAAAGCCACGGCUAACUACGUGCCAGCAGCCGCGGUAAUACGUAGGUGGCAAGCGUUGUCCGGAUUUAUUGGGCGUAAAGCGAGCGCAGGCGGUUUCUUAAGUCUGAUGUGAAAGCCCCCGGCUCAACCGGGGAGGGUCAUUGGAAACUGGGAGACUUGAGUGCAGAAGAGGAGAGUGGAAUUCCAUGUGUAGCGGUGAAUGGCCGUAGAUAAAA